UUUGGUGAUUUUAAAGCAGACGAUGACAUAGGUUAUUAUUCCGCAGGCUCUUUCAAUUCGGACGAAAAUGGAAACCGGUAUGAAAAAAAAAAAAAAAAAAAAAAAAAAAAAUGGCAAAAAAUGGCAAAAAAGGAAGAAGGGAAGAGGCAGGAAAAUGAGAGCAACGGAUGAAACGGAUGAAACGGAUGAAACGGAUGAAGCGGAUGAAGCGGACAAAAAUAGAAACUUGGUUUCCCUCAAAAAGAACAUAUUCAGUAACUCAACAAAACGUCCAUUAAAAAAGAGUGAUUUAAAAGAAGUGUUAAAAACAGAAAAAAAAAAGUUUAACAUUUGUUUUUUAAACUCAAAAAAUAAAAUGUAUAGAGUUAAUUAUUUUAAUAAUUUAAACAUAUUACAAAAUAUGUAUAAAUAUACAGGAAAUGGGUUAAUUAUUGUAAAUGUGAGAUAUAUCCACAACUGCAACAGUCAGACCAGUCAGACUAGUCAUACGAACUACAACCAAAGUAAAUAUCUGGUAAAUGGUGACCAUAAUAGAAACACAGACAAAAGUAAAUUUUACCAAAAAUGUGAAAGUACCGAAGCAAACAUAACCAAUUCGAACGCGAACUGUGACAAACGCACAAACAGACGACAAAAUAUUAUUUUCCAAACGGAUAUUUACAUAUGCAAAGUAAAAGACAAGAAUAAUUACGAAAGCAUGUGCGGCUUCGGUUUGGGGGAAAUUAAUAAAAUGAUGAAAAACGAAAGAAAAAGUAAAAGAAAAAGCAAAAACCGAAACAAAAACAAGGAUAAGGAUAAGGAUAAGGAUAAGGAUAAGGAUAAAGAUAAGAAUAAAAGAAAAGAUAGAAAACAUUUUAAAACAUCCAGAGUGCUUAUUUUCAUUGUUAAAGUUAAUACAGAAGCAUUAAAAAAGUACAUCAUGAGAAAAAUAACUUUUGAAUACAAAUACAUUAAUAACAAUUUUUAUAUGAAUAUGAAAGUAGUAAAAAUAUUAUAUUUACUCACAUUAAACAAUUUAAAAUUACUAUUUAAACAGAAUGAUAGUAAUCAUGAAGAAAUAUAUGAAGCGAAACAAAAAGAAUUUUGUGAAAACUUAACAAGAAAUCAAACUUUUUUUUUGACAUUUUUAACUACCAAUUUAUUUCAUAAAAAAUAUAAAUACCUUUUAGAUAAACAUUUUAUUUAUAGAAUGAUUACAAAUAUAAGAGAUUAUAUUUUAAACGACUACACUUUUGUCGGUGAUACCAUGUUUAUUUAUUUGCUUAGCGAGUUAGAAUCAACAGAAUUUGAUAAACAUCAAUUUGAGAAAGAUAAUAGUAACUUAUAUUUAAAUCCAUUUUUCGAUAGUUUCUUUUUUUUAUUACCACAAUAUAAAAAGAAUGUAGUAUUGUUAAAUAUAUCAACUCUGCGGUUUUUAUAUUCUCAUAUGAGUACAAAUUAUCGAGAAAAAAAAAAAAAAAAAAAAAAAAAAUACCAUAGCAGUGAUAGUGAGAACUUUAUUACAAUGAAUGCAGAUAAAUAUAAUACUUUGAACCAUCACAGUGAAUCAAUAAAUGCUAAUAAAAACUUUUUAUGUAAAAAAUGUGGCUUUUGUAAAAAUAAAAACAACAAAGCGUUUUCUUCUAUUGUAAGUAAGGAAGAAAAAAAACAGUUAAGUAAGUAUUUUGUAAUAGCUGCAGAUUCAUAUUAUUUAUAUUUAUUUAAAAUUGGAUUUACAAAAAUAACGAAUAAUUUUUUUUACUCUCAAUUUAUACCCAUAGUAGUUCAAACUGGGCCUAAAAAAACACAAACUUUAUGUGCUAGUAUUUCAUCUCGUAUUAGCUUAUUAAAAAUUAUUUAUGAGAAAUCAUGUAUACUGCUAGCCAAUCAAUAUAAUAACAUUAUAUACGUUUACUUCAUUAAACAGUGCGUAUACACCAAUACCUUCUUUCUUGUUCCUUCUUUUGUUAUCCCCUUAUAUAAUCGCCAUUACAUUCGCCGUUUUUAUCAGGACAACACCACCAAGCUUAAAUUUAUUAAUGAAAAAGAAUACAUUGUAAAUGAUAUAAGAUAUAAUAUCAAAGUAAAUAAAAUUCAUAACACUUCAUCUACUACGGGACCUCCAAAUUACUUUGUCGCUGGUUUUGAUGUUAUAUAUACGAAAAAAGAAAAUGAUGACUUUGAAUUAACUGUAUAUGCAAUAUUAAUAGAUAGCCUUAUAUUUUGUUACAAACUAAAUUUUCACUAUUAUUAAUUUUUUUUUUUUUAUGUUUUGUAUUUAAUUAGAUUUUACCUGUUCUUUCUGAUUUUUCAGUUUCGUCUUUUUUUUUUUUUUUUUUUUUUUCUUUAUUAUAUGACUGUUUCUUCUUUUGUUUGUAUGUAUCUACCUUGUUAGAAUUAUUUUUAUUUUUAUUUUUUUUUGAUUUUAUGUGGCAUGUAGGUGUACACAUGCACACUGUAAUGCUUUUCCUUCGUACUUAUCUCAUUUUACCACACCCACAAGCAUGCG
rnacentral:lncRNA from 1 species